rnacentral:rRNA from 1 species
UACAGAGGGGGCCAGCGUUAUUCGGAAUUAUUGGGCGUAAAGGGCGCGUAGGCGGCCCGUUUAGUCGGGUGUGAAAUCCCCGAGCUCAACUCGGGAACUGCGUCCGAUACUGGCGGGCUUGAAUCCGGGAGAGGGAUGCGGAAUUCCAGGUGUAGCGGUGAAAUGCGUAGAUAUCCGGAGGAACACCGGUGGCGAAGGCGGCUUCCUGGACCGACACUGACGCUGAGGCGCGAAAGCUAGGGGAGCAAACGGG